AUUCCCCAAUGAGAUGGUCUUUUUGAUCAGUUCUCUCAGAACCCUCUGCAGAAAUGAUCAGAGACUUGAACACCGAGGCAGACAAGCCAAUUCGGUAUUGAGCAAGAUACCUUGGACUGAGAAAAUCCCCUGAGAAGAGGGCAUGCAGAAAGGAGCAAGGCCGAACAACUUCGACUUUCCUUUCUUGGAUUCAUUACAAACACCAUAGAUGUGGAUGCUCAAGUCCUCUGAUGGUCCUUAAAGAUAGGCAGGUCUUUGAAAAGGAAUAAACAAAGUAAGAAGAAGCUCCAAGAGUGUUUGGAGCAAUUACUAUUGACUGGAUGGAGAAGAUGGAAGAAAUUGCCUUUCAUUCAGGGCAUGGAAUCUCAACACUACAGCAGUUAUACCAAGUGGCCCAGCAUCAUCUUCCUGACCCCUCCCAUCGAUUAAAUAUACACAUUUUUUCUUACAUUGGCCCAUGUAUGCUACUGAGAUCAACAUGCGCUAAGAGGAAAACCAAAAUGAAAGUUUCUAUUGGUUGGUGAAAAGCAAGAUCUUCGUCUUUCCCGUCCGGUUGGAGGCUACUCUUCUCCCAAGUGCCCAUUAUGUGGCAGGUUCUCAGAAAUUAUUGAUCAAGAGAAAGAAGAUGAAUUCUUGCCCUCCAGGAGGUCACUUCCGAGGCAGUACAUAAGACAGCUGCAUACCAGGUAGCUGGUACUGACUGGCUGAUGAAUGACACACAGCGCUGAGAGACGGAAUGCUUCUGAUCAGAUGGAAAGGCAGGCUGCAUUGGAAAGUGGUGCUUCCAGCUGAAAUCAUGGUGCCCUCCCUUAUCAGAACACGGCUCAAUCAAUUACAAAUACCACUCCAGCUCCGGUCACUCAAACAGGGACAUCAUCUCCUCUUUCUUUUCUGGGUUAGAACUUUUACCUUAUCAUUGUGAUAACUGACUACAUUAAAUUCCUUCUGAUGCUCCAACCAAUUAACAGGAAUUUAAUGGCUCUACAAGAACUUUAGAUUGCCUCACAUUGCUGUAGAAGCCAGCAUUUCUCAAUCAGUUUUAGCUGGCUAAAGUCAGAGACAUGGUCAGGGGAGCAGGGCUGGUCACCAACGCAGCUUUGGCAGAGAAUCACUUCCUGGUCUUUUUGUCGCCACUGCAUUCUGCCACACUCAGCCGUCAGCUCUCUCUUCAGACCCAGCGGUGAACACCCUUCCAUCUGUCUGUCAUCAGAAUUUCCCUCUACUUCACUCUCAAGAGGGAGUUUUUGUGGUUGCACUAAGUUGUGCCUGGAUAAUCCAGGAUAAUCUCCUCAGUUCAGGAUCUCCAAAUAAACUCCAGCUACAAAUUUCACGAGCCACGCAUUCACAGUGUUAGGGCCUGGCGGGCAUUAUACCUUCAUGGAGCAGCCAGUAAAAAGAGGAAGGAGGUCAUAUCUUACAAACCUUUUUUUCAUUGAACUUAAUUUCUGUGUAUGUAUUUGAGCUACUGUGUGUUACUAGUACUGUGGAAUGUGAGGCCUCUAGUGUUUUUUUUAAGAAGCAGAGAAGUAGAUCAAAAUGAUCCAGGAUGAAGUACAAAAGACAAGGGGCAAGGAAAGAAAUACUCAAAGCCUUGUAAAUGGGAGCUCAGGGGCCAGUGUUGCCUGAGUCAUGCCUGCAGCCAUUUCUGAUAAACGGGAAAGAAGACCUACAUGAAGAAUGGCACUGUGAGCUGAGUGGGCAGAUGUUCUUUAAAUGAGCAAUUUUUACAUAAUUCAGGGAGAGGGUUGAGUGGUGAGCUUGUAACUAUCUCUCUUCUUCCAAAAUUAUUUUGAUUUUAACUAAUCUCUGUAUAUGCUUGUAUUUUUGUGUAUGUAUAUGUGUAUUUCUGUAUAGGUUAGAAGAAGAAGUUGAACUCCCCCAGAACUGGAGUUACAGGUGGUCGUGAGCCACCUAAUAUGGGUACUGAGAACUAACUUUGGGUUCCUUGCAAUAGCAGCAAGCAUUCUUAACUGUUCUUCAUGGUAGAAUUUGGCCAUUCAAGUGAUCACAUAAUUACUCUCAUCAGGAGACAUUUGCUAUGUACACAAUUGACUUUUGUGCAUAGUCUUUGGAGAGAUUUUAUUUAUUUUAGACUAUUAAAUUCCCCUUCCUCCACU
ensembl:antisense